rnacentral:rRNA from 1 species
UGCCAGCAGCCGCGGUAAUACCGAAGGUGCAAGCGUUGUUCGGAAUGACUGGGCGUAAAGAGCACGUAGGCGGGCAAUUAAGUCGAAUGUGAAAUCCCUGGGCUCAACCUGGGAAUGGCAUUCGAAACUGGUUGUCUUGAAUACCUGAGAGGUUAGUGGAAUUCCAGGUGUAGGAGUGAAAUCCGUAGAUAUCUGGAGGAACACCAGCGGCGAAGGCGGCUAACUGGCAGUGUAUUGACGCUGAGGUGCGAAAGCGUGGGGAGCAAACAGGAUUAGAUA